UCCCUCAGUAAGGGCGACUGAACAGGGAAGAGCUCAGCGCAGAACCUCCCGGGCUCAACAGCCUGCGGCGGAAUGUUGCGUUAAGGGAGAGAUCGCUUUCAAACCCCACAGCCACGCGAUCGCUAAGUCCUGCCACGAGUGGCGUUCCCGACGAAAGGAGGGAUUGUGGCGCCGUGGAGGGUGACAGUCCCGUGUGGACGCGUGCGAUUGCUGUGCGAGGGUGAGGUCUUAUUCCCUGCGAGUCGCGUUGCUUGCACAUGCAGCGCUAAGCAGGUCGUAAACUCGAUCUAAGGCUAAAUACAUCCACAGAACCGAUAGUGAACAAGUACCGUAAGGGAAAGUUGAAAAGAACUCUGGAGAGAGAGUCAAAAGACCGUGAAACCGCUCAGAGUAUAAGCCGAUGGCGCUAGAAGGCAACCGGUGGCACGACGACCUCAGUUUCGGCUGGGGUCGUCCGAAAUGUCUGAGAAUUGGGUAGUUGGGGAAGUAGCAUUGGGUUGCUUAUCCGUCAGGCGGGCCUGUUCAUGGGCGAACACAAGUGGUGUCGUUCCGCUGCCGGGCUCGUUGCUGGACGACUCUCUCGAGACAUCACACGGUCAUUGCCCACCACAGCUCGUUGCUUGGUCACCCGCUGGGUCUUGGUGUGCAGAUGCUUCAUCCAGGGUCCGGGCUUCAAGGCGCCAAGAAGAGUAAUGUCCCGCACGAUAGCUUAACGUGCGCGGACCCGCUCACGCCACGCUCGCGUCAUCCUGGCUCUGACUGCCGACAUAGAUGUGGUGUGAUCCAUUCGGCGACGAUGCUGCAACUGGCCAGACACAUGCAACUCUCAACCCCGUUCGCCAUGUGCCGGCGGUGGGGUCCCUGCGGGCAGGCUGCCUGCGUCGCAUGCCAAGCAUACGCUCAGCCUGGGGGUUGGUCUGAUUGGUGAUGCUCUAGCGACCAUCGGU
rnacentral:rRNA from 1 species